GAGGGUAGAGCUCAGUGGUAGAGUGGGUGCUUAGCAUACUUGAGGUCCUGGGUUCAAUCCCCAGUACCCCCG
rnacentral:tRNA from 1 species